rnacentral:rRNA from 1 species
UACGUAGGGUGCGAGCGUUGUCCGGAAUUAUUGGGCGUAAAGGGCUCGUAGGCGGUUUGUCACGUCGGGAGUGAAAACUCAGGGCUUAACCCUGAGCCUGCUUCCGAUACGGGCAGACUAGAGGUAUGCAGGGGAGAACGGAAUUCCUGGUGUAGCGGUGAAAUGCGCAGAUAUCAGGAGGAACACCGGUGGCGAAGGCGGGUCUCUGGGCCGAUAUUGACGCUGAGGAGCGAAAGCGUGGGGAGCGAACAGG